rnacentral:rRNA from 1 species
AGAGUUUGAUCCUGGCUCAGGAUUAACGCUAGCGGCAGGCCUAACACAUGCAAGUCGAGGGGCAGCACGGGGUAGCAAUACUCUGGUGGCGACCGGCAGACGGGUGAGUAACGCGUAUGCAACCUACCCUGUACAGGGGGAUANNNNNNNGAAAUGUGGAUUAAUAUCUCAUAGUUCUAUUAGAUCGCAUCUUUUGAUAGAUAAAGCUCCGGCGGUUAAAGAUGGGCAUGCGUGACAUUAGCUAGUUGGUGAGGUAACGGCUCACCAAGGCUACGAUGUCUAGGGGUUCUGAGAGGAUGAUCCCCCACACUGGUACUGAGACACGGACCAGACUCCUACGGGAGGCAGCAGUGAGGAAUAUUGGUCAAUGGGCGCAAGCCUGAACCAGCCAUCCCGCGUGCAGGAUGACGGCCCUAUGGGUUGUAAACUGCUUUUAUACACCAAGAAAAAUCUCCACGUGUGGGGACCCGACGGUAGUGUAUGAAUAAGCAUCGGCUAACUCCGUGCCAGCAGCCGCGGUAAUACGGAGGAUGCAAGCGUUAUCCGGAUUCAUUGGGUUUAAAGGGUGCGUAGGCGGCUUUUUAAGUCAGUGGUGAAAUCCUGUCGCUUAACGAUAGAAUUGCCAUUGAUACUGAGAAGCUUGAGUACAGUUGAGGUAAGCGGAAUGUGUAGUGUAGCGGUGAAAUGCUUAGAUAUUACACAGAACACCGAUUGCGAAGGCAGCUUACUAAACUGUUACUGACGCUGAUGCACGAAAGCGUGGGGAGCGAACAGGAUUAGAUACCCUGGUAGUCCACGCCGUAAACGAUGCUCACUCGCUGUUUGCGGGUAUUGACCAUGCGGCCAAGCGAAAGCAUUAAGUGAUCCACCUGUGGAGUACGAUCGCAAGGUUGAAACUCAAAGGAAUUGACGGGGGCCCGCACAAGCGGAGGAACAUGUGGUUUAAUUCGAUGAUACGCGAGGAACCUUACCUGGGCUUAAAUGUAGGCUGCAUAGAGGGGAAACUCUCUUUUCCUUCGGGACUACUUACAAGGUGCUGCAUGGUUGUCGUCAGCUCGCGCCGUGAGGUGUCGGGUUAAGUCCCACAACGAGCGCAACCCUUACAGCUAGUUGCCAGCACGUAAUGGUGGGGACUCUAGCGAGACUGCCACCGUAAGGUGAGAGGAAGGUGGGGAUGACGUCAAAUCAGCACGGCCCUUAUGUCCAGGGCGACACACGUGCUACAAUGGCCGAUACAAAGGGCAGCUACCAGGUGACUGGAUGCGAAUCUUUAAAAUCGGUCUCAGUUCGGAUCGGAGUCUGCAACUCGACUCCGUGAAGUCGGAUUCGCUAGUAAUCGCGCAUCAGCCAUGGCGCGGUGAAUACGUUCCCGGGCCUUGUACACGCCGCCCGUCAAACCAUGGGAGCUGGGGGUGCCUGAAGUCUGCCACCGCAAGGAGCGGCCUAGGGUAAAACCAGUGACUGGGGUUAAGUCGUAACAAGGUAACC